rnacentral:rRNA from 1 species
AGGAGGUGCAUUGGUUUCGAUUCCACCAAGUCAAGACAACUGAGGGACAAGUUCGAUGCGCUUUUCUCAGGCUUGUUCUCCUUUCCAAUAUAUUUCCCAGGGACACCAUUUUACCGAUGCAUGCAGGCCAGGAAAAAUGUGCAGAAGAUACUACGGGAUACGUUGGCGGAGAGGUUAAGUACACCAGGGAAGAAACAUGGCGACCUCCUUGACGUAAUUGUCCAAGAGCUGCAGGGUGAAGGGCCAUUAAUAAGUGAGAGUUUUGCUGUUGAUUUGGUCUCCACGUUGUUGUUCUCCAGCGUCUUCACGUUAUCAGGAAUAAUCGCUGUAGCAUUCAAAUCACUCCAUGACAACCCGGACGUUGUCCAUGCCCUCCAGAAAGAGAACCCAGCUAUGCUCAAGGAUCGAAAGGGUGGGUGCUCUGGGCUCACAUGGGAGGAGUACAAGUCAUUAACAUUCACUAAUCAGGUGACCAAUGAGAUUAUUCGAAUAAGCAAUGCCGUAGUUGGAAUAUUCAGAAGAACUCUCACCGAUGUACAAGUCAACGGCUACACAAUUCCAGCCGGGUGGCAGGUCAUUGUGAACCCCAUGGCAGUUCAUCUCAACGAAGAAUUGUUCGAAGACCCACU